AGCGAACGUUUGCGGCGGGCCUAACACAUGCAAGUCGAACGCACUAGCAAUAGUGAGUGGCGCACGGGUGCGUAACACGUGGGUAAUCAACCCUUCAGCUUGGGAUAACGACUUGAAAGGGUUGCUAAUACCGGAUACGGCGCGGGAGGCUUCGGCUUCUCACGAGAAAGCCUCGCAAGGGGCACUGAAGGACGAGCCUGCGGCCCAUCAGCUAGUUGGUGAGGUAAGAGCUCACCAAGGCGAAGACGGGUAACUGGUCUGAGAGGAUGAUCAGCCACACUGGAACUGAGACACGGUCCAGACUCCUACGGGAGGCAGCAGCGGGGAAUAUUGCGCAAUGGGCGAAAGCCUGACGCAGCCACGCCGCGUGAGCGAUGAAGGCCUUCGGGUCGUAAAGACUCUGUGGGGAGAGACGAAGAAAGACCCGUGAAGAGCGGGCCGUUGACGGUAGUCUCCUUAGCAAGCACCGGCUAACUCCGUGCCAGCAGCCGCGGUAAU
rnacentral:rRNA from 1 species